UUAGAGUUUUAUCCUGGCUCAGAGCGAACGCUGGCGGCAUGCUUAACACAUGCAAGUCGCACGGUCAGCAAUGGCAGUGGCGGACGGGUGAGUAACACGUAGGAAUCUAUCCCGGGGUGGGGGACAACAGCGGGAAACUGCUGCUAAUACCGCAUGAUACCUGAGGGUCAAAGGCGCGAGUCGCCUUGGGAGGAGCCUGCGUCUGAUUAGCUUGUUGGUGGGGUAAAGGCCUACCAAGGCGACGAUCAGUAGCUGGUCUGAGAGGAUGAUCAGCCACAUUGGGACUGAGACACGGCCCAAACUCCUACGGGAGGCAGCAGUGGGGAAUAUUGGACAAUGGGGGCAACCCUGAUCCAGCAAUGCCGCGUGUGUGAAGAAGGUCUUCGGAUUGUAAAGCACUUUUGGCAGGGACGAUGAUGACGGUACUUGCAGAAUAAGCCCC
rnacentral:rRNA from 1 species